rnacentral:rRNA from 1 species
CCUACGGGGUGCAGCAGUGAGGAAUAUUGGUCAAUGGACGAGAGUCUGAACCAGCCAAGUAGCGUGAAGGAUGACUGCCCUAUGGGUUGUAAACUUCUUUUAUAUGGGAAUAAAAUGUUCCACGUGUGGGAUUUUGUAUGUACCAUAUGAAUAAGGAUCGGCUAACUCCGUGCCAGCAGCCGCGGUAAUACGGAGGAUCCGAGCGUUAUCCGGAUUUAUUGGGUUUAAAGGGAGCGUAGGUGGAUUGUUAAGUCAGUUGUGAAAGUUUGCGGCUCAACCGUAAAAUUGCAGUUGAAACUGGCAGGCUUGAGUACAGUAGAGGUGGGCGGAAUUCGUGGUGUAGCGGUGAAAUGCUUAGAUAUCACGAAGAACUCCGAUUGCGAAGGCAGCUCACUGGACUGCAACUGACACUGAGGCUCGAAAGUGUGGGUAUCAAACAGGAUUAGAGACCCUGGUAGUC